rnacentral:rRNA from 1 species
GACGAACGCUGGCGGCGUGCCUAAUACAUGCAAGUAGAACGCACAGUUUAUACCUUAGCUUGCUACACCAUAGACUGUGAGUUGCGAACGGGUGAGUAACGCGUAGGUAACCUGCCUGGUAGCGGGGGAUAACUAUUGGAAACGAUAGCUAAUACCGCAUAAUAUUAAUUAUUGCAUGAUAAUUAAUUGAAAGGUGCAAUUGCACCACUACCAGAUGGACCUGCGUUGUAUUAGCUAGUAGGUGAGGUAACGGCUCACCUAGGCGACGAUACAUAGCCGACCGGAGAGGGUGAGCGGCAACACUGGGAAUGAGACAAGGCCCAGACUCCUACGGGAGGCAGCAGUAGGGAAUCUUCGGCAAUGGACGAAAGUCUGACCGAGCAACGCCGCGUGAGUGAAGAAGGUUUUCGGAUCGUAAAGCUCUGUUGUAAGAGAAGAAAGGGUGUGAGAGUGGAAAGUUCACAGUGUGACGGUAUCUUACCAGAAAGGGACGGCUAACUACGUG